AGCAGCCGCGGUAAUUCCAGCUCCAAUAGCGUAUAUUAAAGUUGUUGCAGUUAAAAAGCUCGUAGUUGAAUUUCGGGGUCAGUAGGUUGGUCAUGCCUCCGGUAUGUACUGGUCUCACUGAUUCCUCCUUCCUGAUGAGCCGUAAUGCCAUUAAUUUGGUGUUGCGGGGAAUCUGGACUGUUACUUUGAAACAAUUAGAGUGUUUAAAGCAAGCUAACGCUUGAAUACAUUAGCAUGGAAUAAUGGAAUAGGACGUUCGAUCCUAUUUUGUUGGUUUCUAGGAUUGACGUAAUGAUUAAUAGGGAUAGUUGGGGGCAUUAGUAUUCAAUUGUCAGAGGUGAAAUUCUUGGAUUUAUUGAAGACUAACUACUGCGAAAGCAUUUGCCAAGGAUGUUUUCAUUAAUCAAGAACGAAAGUUAGGGGAUCGAAGACGAUCAGAUACCGUCGUAGUCUUAACCAUAAACUAUGCCGACUAGGGAUCGGAUGAUGUUAAUUUUUUAAUGACUCAUUCGGCGCCUUACG
rnacentral:rRNA from 1 species